UCUUGCUGUAUUGCUCAGGCUGGUGUUGAACUCCUGAUCUCAUGUGAUCCUCCUCCCCUGGAAUUCCAAAGUGAAAAAGAUCACAGGAAGAUGAGUAUUCACUCCUUUCUUAUCCUGGCUGGUAACUGUGAGCUGUAGGAGUUGUCUGUCUCUCUGGUCAAAGGUACUGUGAAGAGCUGUGCGUCUGAGAAAGUAUACUUCCUAGACAAGCAUUAGUCUCCCUCCAGUGAGCCUCCCUCAUGCACCCUGCAGAUUCUAAGCUCCCUCCAAGUCCUCAAAGCCUCAAGAGGUGGCUCCCUCCUUCCUACUGAGAGCCAGUUUUCCCACUGCAUGGGGAGGCACUGCAGACUUCUCACUCUUGCAACAUCGCAGAGCCCACCUCAGAAGGUGCCCCACCUUUUCUCCUGGCUACCAAACCAAAACUAAAUUUAAGUCACAGCUUACUUAUGAUGUGCUAAGCAAGUUGAAGGUGAUAUGCCAAAGGAUGACUAAGAAAACCAGCUAUACUGGAGGAAACCGUGGCAGUUCCUAUGGACUGGAUUUUGAGGGUGCCUGAUUAAGGUGUCCAGAAAUAAAAUGGGGACACUCUCAACAUAUGGGAUUUAACACCAGGGAAGAAUGCAAACUUCUUGAGAGAAUGACUCCUAGAAGUCUGGAAAACAAUCUGGCCCCCAUACUGGGUGAAGAUCCAAGGCUCAAUGGCUAUGGCAGAUGGUGGAAGAAAGGACUGAAAGGCUCAGCCCAGAUGCCAUGCUGGAGAGGGUAUAAGAUUGGAGUCCAGGGAACCCACCAGAAGAUUAUGUUCCCCAGCAAAGCCCAGAUAACUCAGAAUUCCUGGGCUGCUGCACAUGUGCUGAUGAGACAGGCACCUGCAUCUUUACCUUUUGUGAAAGUUCUGUUCUGCAGUGGGGAUGAUGGUGUCUCAAAGCAAUAGAUAUCAGGCAGUAACAUGUAACCACCAGCAUCUAGGAGCAAUUUGUAAUGAUUGAGAAGAUCACAGUGACAAGGAAGAUGGACAGACUCACGGAGAAUUGUGGAGAUCAUUUAUACAAUGAAAUAGAAACCGUUUUCUAAGGGACAAAAUAGGUAGGUAGUGAAUAACGGUACUGCCCAAUACAUGUAAUCAAAAUAACAAGUUCUACACCACUAGGAUUAUUUCUCUGAUCCACAGUCUGUAAAUUCUGAGUGGGACCUGGAGCAGAAGAAGGGUCUGCCCCAGGCUAUGUGCAGGCAUCCCUGCCAUGCACGCCAUGUGUCAGUGGUGGAAAGUGAUGCAGGGAUGAGUUCAUGACAGUGGGGGAUUCUCAAUGUAGAGUCCUGGGGUUCUGCAACAAGGAGAAGCCAUUUGCAAUGAAGAACUAUGCAUCAUCAUCCCACUGUGCCCUGGGAGGAAGGAAUGUUUGAGACUAAGUGACCAUGCAUCCAGGCCUUCUAUUAUGAGCUGGGUUCUGCCAGAAUCAUAAAUUCAUCAAGCCAGACAAGCAUCAUAAUAAUCUGUCACAAAAUGGAAAUGGAACAGCUGAGAUUGAGCUCAAGCAGAACCAGAGGGCAUGAGUACACUGCAUGAUAGCCUUGUGUCCCUCCCUCACUUCACACUGUUGGCCCUAUGGGGGUCCCAUAAAACAAACUGAGGGAAGGAAAAUAAAUUACUAAAGUUGAUCAACAGGUAGAUUAUCUCCGUAUAGAGGUCCAAGCUAAAAUGGAUGGUUGGCUGCGUUGUAGCCAUAGUCAGGGGUGGCUUUGAAAGAUAGUGGUGAUAUAAGACCUUCCCAAUGAGACAGCUUUAAGUGAUGCGCUUGAUCAUGCACUUUAUGUAGCAGGGAAAAUGGCCUGAGCGGAGACUAUGUAAAUAUUCAUGGGCAGUGACUACAAAUGGCACUGGACUGGCUGGUCAGGGGCUGAAUGGCCUGGCCUAGCCAGGCAGGGGCUGAUAUAGAAAAAGAGUGGAAGAUCACAAAGAGACAAGAAAAAUGAAGAAAAGUGAAGACAUCCCUUACAGUUGCACUCCAGAAUAAUCUAUAAGAAGGAAAAGGGUGAAAUUAACUCAAGAAAUGUUGAUGGAUGCAGGACCUAAGGUGGUGGGGGCUGGGAUGAUCAGUCACAAAAUCUCAGAUAAUAGAACCCAAAAGACAUCAGUAUUUGAAGGAGACCAAGAAACAGCAAAAACAUUCACACCAAAAAAAAAUCAAUCACUGUAAUAAGUCUAUUAGUGCAAUAAAAUUGAACUACCUUACAAA